GGUACAAAGCGACGCAUCAGCGGCCCGCCAUGGGAGAAAGCUGUCAACGCCGCCGCCCAGCUGGCAGUGCCCGGGGUUCCCGCGGGGCCCGCGGACGACUGAAGCAGGGAGCUGAGGAUGCUGAGGGAUGACAAGCGAAACCUGGAGGAGUGAAGGACUUCUUCAGUCUCUGAUUGAGCUGGUUGGACCUCUGUCAACAAGAUGAAUAGUUGGCUCGGGAUCAAAGGCGGACUCCAAGCGGCCAUUCUGGCCACUGCAAAGGGGCGUUUGGUGCUGGCGCAGGGCCAGGUGCUACUCUCGGCCACGCAGGGACAAGCCGUGCAGAUGGACUCUGCAGAGGCCCUGUUGCCGCCCCCGACCUCUACCACCCAGCCGAAUACCAGAGACCGCAGAUCUGAGCGACACCGGCUGCCUGUGAAACUGAACCAGCUGAGGCCUGCCAACGGUCUGAUAGCAAGAUUGGAGACAGACCAAAGACGCACCCGGAGGACUGGUCCAGAACUCCAUUAUCUCAGCUGCAAGGAAUAAGAAAUGCAAUUUAAAACACCCAAAACAAGGUGUGUCACACCUCAGCAAUGCUGGCUUCUAAAUAUCAUCAUGCACUACACAAAUUUCUCCUCGUCAAAGUCUUAUCACGCUCACCCAGUUGGCACGGAAUCAUCAAGGGCCUUCUUUCCUGGUGUUGGCCAAUCACAAUCCAUUGUCAGUUCGUCAUUAGGGGACGAGCCCAAGCGAUAAAAGAUGUGUGACGGGGGAAAAAAAGCAAAUAGAACCCUCAGUGAUGUCUUUAUUAUCUCCCAGCGAUGCGGCCUGUGUAAAAAGGCCAGGGUUAAUUACUGUUGAUUAGACGUCAACGCGCGGUGAAGAGGGAGCAUUCAGACCUCACAGAGGAGACCACAGAGACAGAAGAGGGGAGGACGAGGUCGCUCACAGACACGGAUGUGAAAUGAGUGUCAAGUGGUCCUCCUUAGUGAGUUCAACAGGGUGGGAGGCAGGCGAGGAAUGACAAAGCAUCAUGAAAGUGUAUUCAAUAUGUGCGUGCGUGCGUGUGUGUAUGUGUGUGUGUGUGUGUGUGUGUGUGUGUGUGCGUGCGUGCGUGCGUGCGUGUGUGUGUGUGUGUGUGUGUGUGUGUG
rnacentral:lncRNA from 1 species